rnacentral:rRNA from 1 species
AUUGAACGCUGGCGGCAGGCCUAACACAUGCAAGUCGAACGAGUGGCGGACGGGUGAGUAAUGUCUGGGAAACUGCCUGAUGGAGGGGGAUAACUACUGGAAACGGUAGCUAAUACCGCAUACCAUCGGAUGUGCCCAGAUGGGAUUAGCUAGCAGGUGGGGUAAAGGCUCACCUAGGCGAUGAUCCCUAGCUGGUCGGAGAGGAUGACCAAGCACACUGGAACUGAGACACGGUCCAGACUCCUACGAGAGGCAGCAGUGGGGAAUAUUGCACAAUGGGCGCAAGCCUGAUGCAGCCAUGCCGCGUGUAUGAAGAAGGCCUUCGGGUUGUAAAGUACUUUCAGCGGGGGGGCGUUACCCGCAGAAGAAGCACCGGCUAACUCCGUGCCAGCCGCCGCGGUAAUUC